rnacentral:rRNA from 1 species
GACGAACGCUGGCGGCGUGCUUAACACAUGCCAGUCGAACGGAAAGGCCCUGCUUUUGUGGGGUGCUCGAGUGGCGAACGGGUGAGUAACACGUGAGUAACCUGCCCUUGACUUUGGGAUAACUUCAGGAAACUGGGGCUAAUACCGGAUAGGAGCUCCUGCUGCAUGGUGGGGGUUGGAAGGUUUCGGCGGUUGGGGAUGGACUCGCGGCUUAUCAGCCUGUUGGUGGGGUAGUGGCUUACCAAGGCUUUGACGGGUAGCUGGCCUGAGAGGGUGACCGGCCACAUUGGGACUGAGAUACGGCCCAGACUCCUACGGGAGGCAGCAGUGGGGAAUAUUGCACAAUGGGCGGAAGCCUGAUGCAGCAACGCCGCGUGCGGGAUGACGGCCUUCGGGUUGUAAACCGCUUUCGCCUGUGACGAAGCGUGAGUGACGGUAAUGGGUAAAGAAGCACCGGCUAACUACGUG